CCUACGGGAGGCAGCAGUGGGGAAUCUUCCGCAAUGGGCGAAAGCCUGACGGAGCAACGCCGCGUGAUCGAAUGAAGGCCUUCGGGUUGUAAAGAUCUGUCGACAGGGACGAAUAAGCCAUGCGAAUAGUUUGGUGUAUGACGGUACCUGUUUAGAAAGCUCCGGCUAACUACGUGCCAGCAGCCGCGGUAAUACGUAGGGAGCAAGCGUUGUCCGGAAUUACUGGGCGUAAAGGGCGCGUAGGUGGGUGCUUAGGUCAGGUGUGAAACCUCUGGGCUCAACCUGGAGACUGCACUUGAAACUGGGUAUCUUGAGGGCAGGAGAGGAAAGUGGAAUUCCUAGUGUAGCGGUGAAAUGCGUAGAGAUUAGGAGGAACACCAGUGGCGAAGGCGACUUUCUGGACUGUACCUGACGCUGAGGCGCGAAAGCGUGGGUAGCGAACGGGAUUAGAUACCCUGGUAGUC
rnacentral:rRNA from 1 species